AGAGUUUUAUCCUGGCUCAGAACGAACGCUGGCGGCGUGGAUAAGACAUGCAAGUCGAACGAGAGAAUUGCUAGCUUGCUAAUAAUUCUCUAGUGGCGCACGGGUGAGUAACACGUGAGUAACCUGCCCCCGAGAGCGGGAUAGCCCUGGGAAACUGGGAUUAAUACCGCAUAGUAUCGAAAGAUUAAAGCAGCAAUGCGCUUGGGGAUGGGCUCGCGGCCUAUUAGUUAGUUGGUGAGGUAACGGCUCACCAAGGCGAUGACGGGUAGCCGGUCUGAGAGGAUGUCCGGCCACACUGGAACUGAGACACGGUCCAGACACCUACGGGUGGCAGCAGUCGAGAAUCAUUCACAAUGGGGGAAACCCUGAUGGUGCGACGCCGCGUGGGGGAAUGAAGGUCUUCGGAUUGUAAACCCCUGUCAUGUGGGAGCAAAUUAAAAAGAUAGUACCACAAGAGGAAGAGACGGCUAACUCUGUGCCAGCAGCCGCGGUAAUACAGAGGUCUCAAGCGUUGUUCGGAAUCACUGGGCGUAAAGCGUGCGUAGGCUGUUUCGUAAGUCGUGUGUGAAAGGCGCGGGCUCAACCCGCGGACGGCACAUGAUACUGCGAGACUAGAGUAAUGGAGGGGGAACCGGAAUUCUCGGUGUAGCAGUGAAAUGCGUAGAUAUCGAGAGGAACACUCGUGGCGAAGGCGGGUUCCUGGACAUUAACUGACGCUGAGGCACGAAGGCCAGGGGAGCGAAAGGGAUUAGAUACCCCUGUAGUCCUGGCAGUAAACGGUGCACGCUUGGUGUGCGGGGAAUCGACCCCGUGCGUGCCGGAGCUAACGCGUUAACCGUGCCGCCAGGGGAGUACGGUGGACAAGAUUAAAACUCAAAGGAAAUUGUCGGGGACCCGCACAAGCGGUGGAGUAUGUGGCUUAAUUCGAUGCAACGCGAAGAACCUUACCUGGGCUUGACAUGUAAUGAACAACAUGUGAAAGCAUGCGACUCUUCGGAGGCGUUACACAGGUGCUGCAUGGCCGUUGUCAGCUCGUGUCGUGAGAUGUUUGGUUAAGUCCAGCAACGAGCGCAACCCCUGUUGCCAGUUACCAGCACGUGAAGGUGGGGACUCUGGCGAGACUGCCCAGAUCAACUGGGAGGAAGGUGGGGACGACGUCAGGUCAGUAUGGCCCUUAUGCCCAGGGCUGCACACGUACUACAAUGCCCAGUACAGAGGGGGCCGAAGCCGCGAGGCGGAGGAAAUCCUAAAAACUGGGCCCAGUUCGGACUGUAGGCUGCAACCCGCCUACACGAAGCCGGAAUCGCUAGUAAUGGCGCAUCAGCUACGGCGCCGUGAAUACGUUACACCGGGUCUUGCACACACCGCCCGUCA
rnacentral:rRNA from 1 species